CCCUCCACAGAAAUGGCUCACUCUGGACAUCACCAAGCAACACCUCCAUCAGCACAUCAGACCACUGUGCCGUGCUCCAGGGUUAAUUGCUGAGGCUAAGUUGUCUUCUUUCUUCCCCAAUCUAAGAGACACUUUCCAUGCCCGACCUGGGGGUCCAGCUCACAUUCACAAGAGCAUCUCUGGGCCUUGCUGCUUCAAUUAUUGUACCGCUGUGAUAAUAGAGUCAGGAGCUGGCAAGGUUUCCUUGGUGUUGACAUUCACCCAACUGAGGAGAAAGACCAUCGAAGUAUGAGCACGACUAACACAGAGGUCACAAGAUGGACCUGGAAGAUAGUCAAGUUGCAAAUCCUGCUCCUCUGACCACUAGCCCUGAGACCUCCGGAAAGGCAUCUGGAUUCUCCAAGCCUCUGUUUUUACCACGUUAAGAUAACACAGUGUAGGUGGAAUCCCCAUUAUCUCACAUAGCAUGGCCCAGUUCCUGGCAAGGACUGAACACCUCGCCUCUUAGCUGCAUGAGUGAGAAGAGGCCAGGACCGCUUCCUGCAAGGCCGGCCCAUGUGCCAAGCUGACUCCUGGCAAAGCACAUCUCUGUACUUCGUGGGGCUUCUGUGAUUCAUAGACUUAGGUAGAAGCUUCUCUGCAGCAAUAAGUAAUGGAGAACAAAUUGAGAAAAUUAGUUAUCAAUUAGUCAUCCGAUGGUUGGGAAGGCAGGCAGCAGGCACAAAUGGAGCCAGAUUAGUUAAGCCACGAUAAAUUUUAUUGCUCUACAA